rnacentral:rRNA from 1 species
AAUUUUAUUAAAAUUUAUUAAGAAAAAUAAUUUAUAGUUUUAUUAUUAUUUAAAGAAAAAAUUAUUUUUAUUAUAGUUUAUUUGUACUGUAAAGGAAUUAUUUUAUUAUAUUUAAAAAUAAAUUUAAUUUAUUGUACCUUGUGUAUCAGGGUUUAUUAAUUAUAAAAUUAAAAAUUUAAUUAUUUCGAUUUUAAAAGAGUAAAAAAAAUAUAAAUUUUAUUGUUAAAUAAAUAUUUAUAAUAUUUUUUUUGUAAUGAAAUGUUAUUCGUUUUUAAAUAUAUCUAAUUUUUAAAGAAAUAAAUUUAAUUUAUUAAUUUUUAUAUAAUUUUAUAUUUUAUUACUAUAUUAAAAAUUAAAAAUGAUUUAAGGGAAAAGCUUUAAAUUAAAAAUUUUCUAAUAAUUAAUUUUUAAUUAAAAUAUAUAAAAUUAAAAAUUUUUAUUAUCAAUAAUUUGUUAUAAUAAAUUUUAUUUUAAAAAUUUUUUUUAUUUAUUAGAAAUAAUUUAUUUAAAUAUUUUAUUUAAUUUAAUUAUAAAAAUAAUAAUGGUAAAAUUAGUAUAAUAUAAUAUUUUUAUAAAAAAAUAAAUUAAGAUAAUUAAAAGGAAUUCGGCAAAUAAUUUUCCGCCUGUUUAUUAAAAACAUGUCUUUUUGAUUAUAAUUUAAAGUCUAAUCUGCCCAAUGAAAUUUAAAAGGCCGCAGUAAUUUGACUGUGCAAAGGUAGCAUAAUAAUUAGUUUUUUAAUUGAAAGCUGGAAUGAAUGAUUGGACGAGAAAAUUUCUGUCUCUUAAUUAAUAAAGAAUUUAAUUUUUAAGUUAAAAAGCUUAAUUAAUUUUAAAAGACGAGAAGACCCUAUAGAGUUUUAUAUUAAUUUUUUUAAAAAUUUUUAGUAUAUUUUUUUUUAAUAAAUAUUAAUAUUUUAUUGGGGUGAUAAAAAAAUUAUUUAACUUUUUUAUUAUAAAACCAAUUAUAAUUGAUUUUUUGAUCCUUAAAAAAGAUUAUUAGAAAAAAUUACCUUAGGGAUAACAGCGUAAUUUUUUUGGAGAGUUCAUAUUAAUAGAAAAGAUUGCGACCUCGAUGUUGGAUUAAGAUAAAAAUUUAAUGUAGAAGUUAAAUUAUUGAGUCUGUUCGACUUUUUAAAUCUUACAUGAUCUGAGUUUAAACCGGUGUGAGCCAGGUUGGUUUCUAUCUUUAAUCUAUAAAAAAAUUUUAGUACGAAAGGACCAAAUUUU